GUUUAUAAGAAACCUAUUAUUGCAGUAGCAAAUAGCCCGGCCAUUGGGCUAGGGGCACCCAUGCUGCCUCUCUGUGAUAUGGAUUGGGUUAAUGAAGAGGCUUAGUUUCAAAUGCCUUAUACCACCCUCGAGCAGAGUCCCCAUGGCUCUUCUACCUUAUGUCUCCCAGGGUAACAUGAGAGCAUCGGCAAAUGGAACGGUGCUCAGCAGGUGGAGGCACGGGACUGGGGCGGGGGGUGGGGUGGGGAAUGGGGGGUAAAUGAGUAGCAAAGGCCUGGUUUCCCAGGUGCUUUUGCCUGAAACCUUCAUCCAGGAAGUUAUGGUUUGAAUGAGGGAGG
rnacentral:lncRNA from 1 species